rnacentral:rRNA from 1 species
GAGCGGCGGACGGGUGAGUAAUGCUUGGGAACAUGCCUUUAGGUGGGGGACAACAGUUGGAAACGACUGCUAAUACCGCAUGAUGUCUACGGACCAAAGUGGGGGACCUUCGGGCCUCACGCCUAAAGAUUGGCCCAAGUGGGAUUAGCUAGUUGGUGAGGUAAUGGCUCACCAAGGCAACGAUCUCUAGCUGGUUUGAGAGGAUGAUCAGCCACACUGGAACUGAGACACGGUCCAGACUCCUACGGGAGGCAGCAGUGGGGAAUAUUGCACAAUGGGCGAAAGCCUGAUGCAGCCAUGCCGCGUGUGUGAAGAAGGCCUUCGGGUUGUAAAGCACUUUCAGUCAGGAGGAAAGGUUACGUUUUAAUAGAGCGUAGCUGUGACGUUACUGACAGAAGAAGCACCGGCUAACUCCGUGCCAGCAGCCGCGGUAAUACGGAGGGUGCGAGCGUUAAUCGGAAUUACUGGGCGUAAAGCGUACGCAGGCGGUUGAUUAAGCGAGAUGUGAAAGCCCCGGGCUCAACCUGGGAACUGCAUUUCGAACUGGUCAACUAGAGUGUGAUAGAGGGUGGUAGAAUUUCAGGUGUAGCGGUGAAAUGCGUAGGAGAUCUGAAGGGAAUACCGAUGGGCGAAGGGCAGCCACCUGGGUCAACACUGACGCUCAUGUAC